GACGAACGCUGGCGGCGUGCUUAACACAUGCAAGUCGAACGGAAAGGCCCUGCUUUUGUGGGGUGCUCGAUUGGCGAACGGGUGAGUAACACGUGAGUAACCUGCCCUUGACUUUGGGAUAACUUCAGGAAACUCGGGCUAAUACCGGAUAGGAGCUCCUGCUGCAUGUUGGGGGUUGGAAAGUUUCGGCGGUGGGGGAUGGUCUCGAUGCUUAUCAGCUUGUUGGUCUGGUAGUGGCUUACCAAGGCUUUGACGGCUAGCCGGCAUGAGAGGUGGACCGGCCACAUUGGGACUGAGAUACGCACCAGACGCCAACGGGAGGCAGUAGUGGGGAACAUGGCAGAAUGGGCGGAAGCCUGAUGCAGCAACCUCGCGUGCGGGAUGAUGGCUUUUGGGUUGUAAACCGCUUUCGACGGUGACGAAGAGUGAGUGACGGUAACGGGUAAAGAAGCAACGGCUAACUACGUG
rnacentral:rRNA from 1 species